GGGCCGCCACCCACCACAUGACCUUAUCGCCACCCGCCAGGAGCUAUAUCUGCAGUCCACAUCUCACUUUUAAUUUUUUUCGGAAAGCUUUAGCGUGGUGGCACCCCGCCACCCAUCACCUGCAAGUCUAGCGGCCCGCCUUAAGCCUAUCUGCCACUUUAAUUAAUUAAAACCCAACAAAGGUUCACGGGAUAACCUUUUCCCUUCCCCAUCGCUGAAACAAUUACCCUUCAACCCCUUUCCUCUCCCCUAACCGCCGACCACCCCCUCACAUAUCACCCACCUUCUCGCCGUCAACCUCCAUAACCACCGAAUAACCCCUACUCUUCACUGCCGAUAUUACCCCUUAUUCCACAGACAACACAUCCCCUUCAACCAUUAGCCCACCAUGUUUUGUCCCCUACCCCCACUACCAAUAACCCACAUUGUCACCUAACCUUUUAUCACCAUUAAACUUUUUCACCCACUGGUUACCCACCGAAGAACAAAAGAAAAGAACCAUAAAAAAAAAAAAUCUCCAUUACCACCUACUCCCUCACUCAUCCGAUUUCAACCAUCCAUUCACCAUAUUUCACUUAAAGUCUAAAUUGUUCUUUGGGAUUCAAGUUUCAAACGAAAAAUCUCUCAAUCUCUUCUUAUUUCUCUCAAAUCCAAGGUAUGCCUCCUAAUGUCAUGUUCAGGAUCAUGCAGUCGGCCAACAGGAAACGAGGCCAGAUACUCACCGAAGAGUGGGACACAGGCGGGUGAUGAGGUGUUGGAUGAUGCGGAGUAGAGCGAGGAUGACAGCUUAUGUCUUUUGUUUAUUUUUAUCUUUAUGCUGUUUUUAAUCCUCGUUUGUUGGUUUGUACUUAAAUACGUUAAACAGGUUGGUUGGGAUUUUGGGGAUGGUUGACUUUUGGUUGUUGGAUGUUCACACUAACACUUAGUAGCUUACAUAUUAUCUUUUGCUAGUGUUUGGUGUUUGCUUGAUUAGGUUGGUAUUAGUAGCCGCUUUCGUUCGCGUGUCCGAGAUUAGAGUUGUUUGCUGAGCGCGUUUCGAAUUGGAGGGCUUAUGUGGAAACGACUGGCACUUUGACAGUCUCACAUACUCAGCUAAGUCGUUUCCCUUUUUGUUGUUGUUGUAUAUUUUUUAUUUAUUUCAUUUGCAGUUUUUUUUAGGUAGUUGUUGAGUCGUAUUUUCGUUCUUGCAUUAGGGACAAUGCAAUCUCUAAGUGUGGGGAUGGGAUACUUGUAAAUAUUUGAGUCAUAAAUAUGAAAAAACACAAAAAAAUUAAAAAAAUUGAAAAAUCCAAAAAAAAUAGAAAAAUAGAAAAUGUCUUUCGAAUAAAAAAAAAGAAGUUUGCAUUUUUUUUAAGCGGAAAGUGAUAGAAAAGAUGAAUUUUUGCUCGGGUUCGAAUAAUAAUAAUAUGAGAUUAUAAUAAAUCGAGCUUGCGUCUAGUUAGGGAUAUGUGGAUAGGCUCGGGUUUGGUUUUAAGUCCCUUUGAUCUAAUAUACCUUAAUUGUCGGUUUACUAGUGGGUUUUCGCCUGAGAGAUAUGGGAAAUUAAAACCGCCAAUAAUAGUAUAAGGGGCACCGUUAUAAGUUAAAACUUUCAGAGUUUGUGGUCAUGAAAAAAAAAAGGAAUAAAAAGUGAGCUAGAAACUAAAUGAAAGUAACACAGGUCUAUG
rnacentral:lncRNA from 1 species